rnacentral:rRNA from 1 species
GGGUGCGAUCAUACCAGCAUUAAUGCACUAGAUCCCAUCAGAACUCCGCAGUUAAGCGCGCUUGGGAUAGAGCAGUACUGGGAUGGGUGACCUCCUGGGAAGUCCUGGCGUUGCCCCCU